rnacentral:tRNA from 1 species
GGUCCGUUGGCCCAAUGGUAAGGCGUCUGACUACGACUUCCAUCAGUUAUCAGGAGAUUCUGGGUUCGACCCCCAGGCGGACCU